CCUACCUGUGUUCUCCUGAUGCUCCUGAGAUCUCCAAAUAUGCAGAGUGAACAUAAACUAGAUCGAUCUUGGCUCUUGUCCUGCAUUUCCAGCAUGUUCCAGAGACCUUUUCAGUGCUGAAAUAGCUCCUGUCUGCUCAGGGCAGGAAGCUCAAGGUUGCUCUUCAGGGGCACUGCCAGCCCUGCGCAGACCUUGCUGCUCUUUGUAGGGUCAAGGUGGGUCUCUAGGCACAGGUUGCGGUGUGUUCUGAAUGAGCAGCAGUUCCACCAUGCUGUGGGAAGCAAACACCUACACCCAUUCCUUGCACACCAUGCCCAUGGAGCCAGCACGCCUGAAAGGCACAGCCUCCCUGCCGGGAAGUGCCAGAGUGCCCAGACGGAUGCAGGGAUGGAGCAGACUGCCCAGAGGUGCAUGGCUUUAGAGUCCUGGUCCAGCGUGCAGGUCCAUCGCCUCCUGAAGAAGUUCAGAGCGAGCAGGUCCAGGCUUGGCAGAGUGAGAAAUAGAAAAGAAAACGAGGGGGACAGUGUGGAAGGGGUGGCUGGCUUCUCAUUAAGGAGCAUUUCAGCUGCUGGUCUGAAGGAAGACUUUGAAAAGAAAGCGCAGAGCCCUCCUGGCAGGGCAGCGAGCCCAGCUGCCCUCCCCACGUCUCACUUUUUAUAAAUUCUGGGAAACACUUUUAGACAGACACUGGCACUCAUAAAUUAUACAACUCAUUUGCAUAUUCCAGUCAUGAGACAUUAUGCAAAUGUGACCUGAUUUGCAUAAUGGAUUCCUCUCGUCGCUUCACUUGCUUCAUGCUUUUAAAAAACAAAAUGAAAUAAAAUGAAAGCACAAGAAGGUGGAAGCGAUGAGUUCCCAGCCCCGCCGCGUCUCCUCCCAACCGCACCGUCAUUCACCAGCAGAGACCGGGGCGAGGGAGAGCGAAAGCGAAAAAACAAAGCCCUCACAUGGUGUAUUUCGCCUGUAAUUACGACCAUCUAACUUUCCCCUGGUUGAGAUUCUUCACCCCAAGUGACAUAUCGGAGCCAACCGAGGAAACAAAAAAUGCCCUGGAAAACAGGAUAAGCAGAAAAGGGCAGCGUUCCCCAGGCUCCCCGCCCCAGCACCUCCAGCUUGCGCGGAUGGGAGCCCCGCCACGCGGCCGAGCUGCCCUCCUGCUGCCCCUCCAGCAGAGCCCGUGCAGCCAUUGAGCGCAGAGGGGAGGGAGCAUUGGGACUGUUUGUCGCAAAACACGAUGGUGACAUCUUGGGAAGGAUGAGACGGGCGCACAUCAGCUUCCUUCCGCCGUGCUCCAAAGACAGAGCCUCUGCAGCCACCCAGCUCUGCUGUGGGCGCAUCCCUGCCCCCCUGCACCGCACGAGCGGCAGCGCCGUGCCAGGCGGCUGUACCCUGUGGGAAAAGUUAACUGUAAUUCUUCAGCUUUUAAAAUCAAUUAACCCGUGUGUUAAUUAACGUCAAGUCGACGGGAGGAGGAGGAGGAGGGGAGAGAGGGAGGGAGGAGGGAAGAAAAAAAAGCUGCAAGGGCGGAUGGCAGAAGAGUUGGCACAGUGCCAUCCAUUCAGUGGCAACGCCACAGUUCCGUGUGAUAACGGCAGCGGGUAUAUGUUACGGGGGCCCUGUGCGCGGGCCAGACAGUGCGGUAACGCUAAGGGAGAUUAUCCAGACCCCCAGGAGCAAGCGGCGCGCAGCGAGCAGAGGCGCAAGUGCCAGGAUUACAGACGAGGCUCUCCGCCGCCAGCCCUGCCUUGGACACGCUCGGCUAUGGGCACAGCACGCCGGCUUCCAGCACGUUUCCCCCUUGAACGUCAUUCUGCCGCAGUGGAGCCAGCACAACGGAUGCUUUCACACCCCGCGAGACAAAGGCCGUCGUCUCCGCCAUGACACCGCGCCGCUCCAUGCCGAGGCCGGCAUCUUGGAGGCUUCAAAAAUAAAGGGAAAUCGGCAACGCGGACAAUAAAAACGGCAAAAGAAAAAGGCUUGGCAACAACCCCCUCGUGCCCGCUCGCCGUGCCAGGGGCAACAUGGGCAUCUGUCGCAGCAGAAGUGCCAUCUGAGGCUGUACCAACGCGGGCGACGGACAGUGCCAUUCGCCAUUCGGACAAGCUGAGGGAGAGGUGCCAGCCCUGCAGCUCGGGAGGGACCCGAGAGGGGAGCACGAAGGUCUCCAAACAGCACGCCGAGGGAAGGAAGGAAUACCGCUCUCAUAGGGCAGGAUCACAGCUGCACACAGCCUCUGCUGGGAGGAGAGGGAAUGUUUGUAGAUAGCGAGAUGCCUGUGUAUGCACAUACACACAGAGCAGUGUGCGUGUGGACACACAUACACACAUGCACACAAUGCCUCAGAUAAUUGCAGAUUAGAAGUAUGAGUGUGUGUGCGUGUGUGCGGAGAUGUGUGUGUACUGUGUGCACACAUACAUGUGCGGGGAUAUAUAUCUGUGUGCACGCAUGUAAUAUGCGUACAUACACGUGUGAGGAGAUGUACGUUUGUGUGCUUGGGAGAGACAAAUUCACACACACACGCAUCCACACAGUGUGAGCAUACAUCCCACUUUUUGACCUAGGUAUACACGGAAGACAAAAUAAAAAUCAUACUCCAGCAGCAAGCAGGCAGUCAGAGAUUUAUCUACAUUCACUGCUAUCACCAGGGAGAUGAAUGGGGCCGAUCUGAAGCCCUUUGCAAGAUCCACUAUAGGAGUGAAGGAGGAGGAGGGAUGCCACACAGACAUGCACAAACUUGAAGACAGAGAGAUUUGGAAGGUGCUACUUGUGAAACCCAGGUGGCACUCCGGAGGGUGAGCGAGGGAAAGAGCCGCACACACUCUGCAGGGGCCGGAGGGCUUUUGGAAGAGGGCGUCAAGGGACAGCUGGCUACUUACGUUGUGUUGUCUGCGCUGCUGAGGAUCCUGCAAGGUGUUCUGUUGGCACCGGGCGCUGAGCCAGGGAAGGGCACUGGAAACAAAAGGGAGAGACAAAAAAUAAAGUCACACAGCGGGAAUAUUAAUUGCCUCUCUUGCGGAUUUUACAAAACACACAAAAUGUUUUCUUCUUGCUGUUCCUUUUUUUUUUUUUUUUUUUUUUUUUUUUUUUUUGUGGAUUGGCGCGAUUCCCCUCUGCGUGGAAAAUACUAGCAUGGGAUUUACAGCCCAGCUACAGGGCUCGGGAUUAACAGCGCUGGCAUCUUUUGGGCAUAUUUUUUCUGUUAAUGAAUGAGCUUUCGCUGUUAAUGAGGAAUAAUCGUUUGGCUAAUGAGCUUUGAAACAUUAAGAGAAAAGAGGGUUUUUUUCCCGUUAAUCGCCCUGGUGCGACCGCAUGGAUGGAUUACAAAAGACAGCAGUAGGAACGCAGUACAAAGGGGGGGAAACGUCUCCUGGAGUGGGAUAAAUGCAGAGAUGGGUGAUGUGUCCCCGCAUCUCUCCUUCCUUCCCUUCCCUCUCUCUCUGCCAACUGCUAUGGGUUUCCAUAACUCCGCAAUCAAAGUGGAUAUUCGGGAAAGAUUAUUAUAGUCAAACAGCGGAGUGUCGGCUGUUAAUGUCUCCAGUGUUUAAUCAUCAUACAGUAGAAUGGUUUUAUGCAUAUUUCAUUUGCAUAUCAUUAAACUGCAUUAGCACAGGACGUUCAGAGCUGGAGAGGUACAAAGUUGGGGGGAGAGAGAGGGAGAGCGAGAAAGAGGCAGAGGGAGGAAGGUCCCUGUGAUGCCUAUCUUCAAAAGCAGGGACUUGUUCCAUGGUCUGUCUUCUACUUUUCCUAAAAUCAUGGUGACUUGGAAACCUUUGAAGUUGGAUAUAACCUUGGAUUCUUCUAAUUUCAGCAGAGUGAUGUAUUAGAAAGGGGUAAACGAUGCUGCGCUAGACAUUUAAAGGAAUAUAAGCUCCAGUGGAAUGGAAAUAGGAGCUCUUUGGGGAACAGACUGGCAGAGCCAGCUGCGGCUUCAACAAACACCACAUUUCUUGGUUAAUAUUAGUAAAGGAUACCAGAGUAAAACAAAAGAAAUGAAGACAACAUAUACAUUAAGAUGGGGAUUAUAUUUCUCUUUCUCUUGCUUUUCUGUUUUUUUUUUUUUUUUUUUGAAGAUAAAAAGGAGGAUGGAACCAGCGGUAAUUUAUGCAUUAAUUAGCAAGCAAUUGCCUCUUGUGUUUGUUUUUCUUCUCUCUUUAUUUUGGAGAGGGGUGUUGUCACUGCCGAAGAGAUUAAUCAAUUAUUUGGUAGUUCAGAUCCUUCUCCACCGGCACCGAUAGGAAUGAGGUGGUGGUGGUUGCGGGGGGAGGAACACAGUGGGCUCUUUGUAGGUCUUAUACAUGCACAACAUAUUAAUUGGGGUCUUUAUAAAGCUCCCUCAAUAGACUGUUUCUUCUGUGGUAAAACAGCAGCUGGUUAGCCACUGUUGGCGACUCUUCAAAUAUCAUUUUUGCUGGGGGCAUUUCUACCGCUGUUUGUUGUUUUGCUUUAUUUUCUUUCCCAAUGGAGGGGGCUGCCCGCGCGAUGCUAUGCUGCCCGCUGGUCUUGAAUGGCAGAAAGAUAGACAAUAUCAAUAUCGAGACGAUCUCUUGAGCUGAAUGCAGAACUUUGCUUCAAAAUGAAAUGCUGUUUUAUAUUUAAAUUUUCCUCCUUCUCCCUCCCCCACGUUUCUUCUCCAAGUCUUUGUCUCGGCUAUGAAUAUUCAGAUGAGCUGUGAUGUGAUUACACUGUACAAUUACUUUCGUCCAUGGUAGUGGCAAAGGCACUGAGGAAAGACAGAGCCAGACAAGCUCAGAGCUCAUUUGGGGUUUGUUUUCUCUAUUUUUGCCCAUCUCUGUAGCGCUGCAGCACAUGCAGAUGUCGCUGUUGUUCUUUAUAAUUCUUUAUAAUGAUAUGCAAAGGCAUAACGACCCCAUUUGGGUGCACAGCAUCAACGAUAUAUUAUUGGGGGGGGGGGGGGGGGGGGAAUCCUGACUGAAGGAAUGUCCACAUAAAUUAUUUUUAUUUAAAUCAGUUGAAGGAGGUGGUGGUGAAGCAGAGGAAGUCACAUGAAUACAUGCAUAAUGUUAAUAUGCAGAAAGGUUAUUGCCAAGGAGAAGAGUGUUUUCUGCACAGCGCUUGGGACAAACAGGCUCAUUAGGGAAUAGCACAGCCCACUGCGUGAUUUACUUAUUUAUCAUUACUCAUACUUAAGCUGGGGCACCAGUCAUGCUCACUGCCUGGAGACUCUUUGAGGACCAGGAGCUCAGUGCCUACACCAUUCCCUGCUUCCAUUCAGAAAUUUCAGUGAUAUACACGGUGGGAGGGGGACAGGAAGAGGAACUGGAGGGAGAAUGUGUUAAGUGCCAUGCUUCAGUAACAAAGGAGGAGCUCAAUGACAGCCUUGUGGGUAAAGUGACAACACGGCAGUGCGUGUUAGUGUUUAGAUGCUGUUGCUGGCUCAAGGCAGGCUUCUGUGCAUUGCUUCAGGGACAGUACAAGUGAUGCAGUGCCCAUGCCCUGCCCACUGCUCUGUGCCUCCAGCACAGGGAUGACAGUCUGGGAGUGGGCUGCUCCCAGCCACAUGUGCCACCAGGAUACUGAAGGUGGGACAGACCUGGCAGAUAGUGAUUCCUGGUUCCUGGGCUGUAUCAGCAGAGGAAUGGCAGUGGGGCAGGGAGGGGAUUGUCCCCUCCGCUCUGCUCUUGUGGGACCCCAUCUGGAGCACUGUAUACAGGCCUGGGGCUCCCAGCACAAGAAGGAUGUGGAACUGUUGGAGCAGCUUCAGAGGAGGGCCACAAAGAUUAUCAGAGGAUGGAGAAUGUCUCCUAUGAAGAUAGGCUGUGGGAACAAUGCUUCUUCAGGCUGGAGAAAAGAAGACUGGGGAGACCUCAUUGCAACCUCCUAGUACUUGAGGGGAGCUUAUCAACAGGAGAGUGGUAGGACAAUGGUGAAUGGCUUUAAACUAAAAGAGUGGAGAGUUAGAUCAGCUGUUGGGAAAAAAAUUUCUACCCAGAGGUGGUGAAGCCCUGGCACAGGCUGCCCGGAGGGCUGUGAAUGCCCCAUCCUUGGAGAAGCCCAAGGCCAGGGAUGGGGCCCUGGGCAGCCUGAUCUGCCCACAGCAGGUGCAUUGGGACUACGUGAUCUUUAAGGUCCCUUCCAGUCUAAGCCAUUCUGUGAUUCUGUGAUCCUCUCUCACCUGCUUCUUCCUCAGAACGGGAAUUGUUAUCACUUGAUAUUUUUAACACACAAAUGUGUGUGUAUGGAGAAGAACCUCUUGGCUGCUCUGUGCUCUGCUAGGAAUGCUUUUUUGGAUCAGGGUCUUGUAUGUACUUAGGGUUAACAAAGAUUUAAUGGGCCAUCACAGAACAGCAACGCCCUCAUUGCAGCGUAGUGACAUUAGCGAAGGACAUUAGAAAAACCUGCUUGUGUGCCCGCUGUGCACAGAUCCUGAAUCAGCCUCUACAACGCCCAUGGUGUAAGAAAGGCUCAUACUGCUGCCAGCCUUAUCUCCAGAGAAGGACCAUGGCUUUAAACACAAGAAGAGAACAGGCAGGAUGGAAAAUAAAGACUUGCAGGUGGGACCUGUUCUCAGAGGAGCUGUCCUCUCCUUCCAUCCUGUGGGCACAUGCAGAUGCUGCCAAUAACUAGAAACACUACUGAGCAGAUCCCCAGCUGCCAGACCGGGGUUGUUUCUCUGCCUUUUAAUAGUGUCUGACAAGGAUAUGGUAUGAGCAUCUGUUCAAAGCAGGCUGUGGAGUCCUGAGCAAACAGCUACCAGGUCUUCAAGCAGGCUCUAUCACUAAAAGAGCACCAAGAACCUUGAACAGAAGGAUAAGGCUCUCAUCUAAGGACUAAUGGGCAGAGGAUGCAGUGGCCCAUAGCAAAGAGGGACUGCUGCCCAAUGCCUGAAGAUUCAUAACUAUGAUCUCAUCUAUUAGUUCUCCGAAUCAAGUUCCUUCCUGCAUCUCCACAGAUGCAUUUGUAAUGCACACGCACACACCCUUCUGUAAAGCCACCUGGGAAUCUGAGCACAAGGCAAGUCUGCCAGCUCCGAACAAAAACAGGACACCAAUACCACCUCUAGGCAGGAAUCCUAAAUCCAGCCUCUCUCUGCUCAAAGUUGAAAAAGUGCAAAAAUUCAAGGCACAAGGGAAGUCUGACCAUCAGCCUGACUUAGGGUUAGAUAUGAAUAUCCCGUCCAUGACCACACAACACUCUUGAAGGCCCUACUGAGACACGUUACCAUCCAGACAAAAUGCAACUGGUAUGGCAGCCAGCCAGACCUCAGAGAGUACCCUAGAGCCUGUCUGCUGCAAGGCACUGAGCUGCUGCCAUGAGCCGCAGUGACCCAAGCAGAUCACCUCCGCCUCACCCACCCAUACCAAUGGCUUUCUGACCCCAGCGCAGUGGAUCCCAUCAGCGACUCUUUCUAUAGGUAGCAGGAAGAAGAUUACAGAUGGGAAAAGAAGCACAGGUUGUACCAUAUAAGCAAUGUGUGUGAAGCAGAGGAGUGGUGAUGCAGCUCGCAGCAAGAGGCAGUGAUACUCUGAGAUGCCCACACUGCUCUGCAUACUACCAGGGAUGCUCUCACACAGCUUCUGCAGGGCUGUUCUGGCCGUGCAGGCUGCUGCUGCUCUUUAACAUGCACAGCUGUGAAAUAUGACUGCUGCUGUUUCAAACUACUCCUGAUUGCAAAUCUGUGACCACUGUGAAGUGAAUCUCCCCAUGGAGACUUUAGAAAGGGGCAGCUAUUAUAAUGCCACAGGAACCAUUGCUCUGCUUGUCAUUGUACCAAGCACCCUGAAGAAAUGGCUGUUUAGAAAAGGAAAUUCAAGAAUUUAUGAAACAUAUUGAUAUUCAAAAAGAAAGAAAAAAAAUAGAUUGUUUUGCAAAUAGUAGCACUGCUGAAGAGUGGAAAGAAGUGCAUCAGUCAUUUGAUAUUACAUAUAAGCUGUUUAUUAAAGAAUUAAAUAUUUAUAGACUAUAAAGCAAGCAGGGCGAUGAGUCGCAAACAGCUUGCUGAGAAGUAUGUUAUAAACAAUGAGUCUGUCAGUGACUAAUAAAGUAUGGAGAACACAAAUGUUUCAUGAACCACCAGGUCAGCUAUCAAUCCCCAAAGCCACUGAGGUUCCUGCUGCAGUGCAAGCCUGGAGCCAACAUGGGAGGGACAGUGUCUGAUGAGAGAUGUGGAGCACAGACACAUGCUGAGCACUCGUGGGAAUGCACAUGAUUCAAUGCCUUAGAGAGAUUUACUUUUUCACAUUAUUUUAAACACAGAUCUAUUAAUAGGAAGUGCAGGAAUUUUGGAGUUCGAGACACUUCCCUCUUCAGUUUUUCACUGCAUCUACUCUUCCAUUUCCAACAAAACUACAGUCUGUGAUUCAGACUGAAAUUCCUCUCUGCACAAAGCUCUUUCGUUCCCUCACAGACAUGAAAGGUGCAGAUACUCCAGGCACCAGCUUCCCUGUUCUGAGUGACGGCAGACAGCUCACACUUAUAAAGGCUUUUUAAGAGGAACAAAUAGUUUCUAGCCCAGAAAGACAGCAAUCCCUUUCUUCUUAUUAUUAUUAUUAUUUUUAGAAGAAACUGACAAAAGUGUGCACUUUAUACUAUUUGAGAAGGACAUCCCUCAUUUCUCAAUAGCAUACAGACAUCGAUCAUAUUAAUUUGGAGGAAAAAGCUGCUUUAUUACUAGUGGAGAUAUAAUUAAAAUCUCUUCAGAUUAUUUUUAUUUUUCUGGGUGCAGCCCAAGGCCUAGAAAUUAUUUCUAAUGGAGGACAAGCUGAUACCUUUGGUCAUUUCAAAGCUGAUUCCUAUAACUGUUCUCACAGUUUCAAGUCUGGUAAGAUGGCGGAAGCUCCCAAGUGGUAUCAGCAUUUGUGACCCUUUAGAAUUUACUCUCUUUGCAAGCCAGCAGGAUUUAGACCUGCUUCAAAAAUCCCAGUCACCACAAAUCCCACUCCUCCGACAGUCACUGUACUAAAUAUCAUCCUCCAAGGCUGCAAGCCAAAGUGUUGUCUGCUGAGACAACGAGGGGAGAAUCCAUACAGAGAGAGGAGACAGAACUGGUGCCUUCUUGCUCUCAAACGUCGUCCACUGAAGAACCAUAUUAAAUUAACACAGGUGUACGCAGGCUGAGAACCAACCAGGCUUGGGGAGGACAGAUUCUGUUUAAGUUGUAGAAAGAAACUCCAUUUUGCCAGCUGUUCUUUCUGUAUUUAGAUAAGGUUGUAGAUUUUAAUCCUCCGAAACACAAGUUACAUCUUUUUACUGUUAAAAACCAGUAAUUAUUCAAGCUUAUUUUCCUGGGAAGAUACAUCAGACAAAAUUUCGGCUUAAAGAGCAACCUUUGCUGUUGUGUGUGGAAAUAAUUACAGCAUGGUUUGGAUCUCAGCAGACCUUUAGGCUGACAAAGGAGGUAUACAGAAAAGCACAGUCCAAUCAAAGGCACAAAACCCAUUAGUUCCAGAUGACUCGUUUGCAGCGGUCCAUCUCUGGAGAGCACAGAGCCUAUUAUCUUCAGGGAUCCCGACAGGCGAGCACGGUACCUUCCAGAGAGCACUGUCACCAGCCUGAUGGAAGAAUCAGACUGCUCCAUCUGUUCCAGCACCAUCCUGUGCUGGUGGGACCCUUCCUAUCUCCCCCAGCUUCACCAGUUAUGGAGCACAGCAAGAAACCCUAAGCGUGCGCUCAAACUACAACAAGACCAGCUGAGCUGGAAAUGAAAACUCUGUUCUCCGUUCUCCUCUCUCCUUGCAGUCCAGCUCUUUUAUCUCUCCAUACCAGCCAUCAUUUACCCCUGAAGAGUUGUCUUUACCUGGGUGAUUUUAGCUACUGUUACUCUAUCGUUCUCCUAACCCACAAUUCUAAAACCAUGGAACACACUUGGCUUAGGGUUACAUGUAUCAAGGAGCUUGCCUCCCUUCCAUAGACCAGUCUGUUAGCAGGAUACAGAGGUCUGCUCCUGAUCCACUCUCAUCUCUUUUGUUGAAGAGUACAGUGCUGUGCUCAUCUCCAACUAGCUCAACAACACCGGGCCAUCAAAACACACCACUUCAGGACAUAACUCACUCACCCAGGCUUUGAUGCACUUUUCUAUUCCAUAUUCCCUCUGCGUUUCUUUGCUCCUCCAGCUGCCUUUAACCCCUGCCUCCAGGCACACUUCAGCACUCACAACUCCAGAUACUCUUUUGCUUUCCUGACUGUCCUCCUUCCACUCAAGCACUUUGGUGGAUUUUGAGUUGAUUGAAAAACAGGCACUGUUGGAUGAAAGCUCCUUACUUCCACUUGUUUGCUGUGGCCAUGCAACUCCCAAAGGCUGUGGAGUCGCAGGAGAAAACUGCCCUGGGAGGAUGGUUAGAAGCACUAUAUAGUCUCAAGUAGCAUGAAGUGCAUUACCAAAGGCUCAACAGACCAGCUGGGUCACAUCUCCACAAAAACACGUACUUUGUUGCCCAAUAUCUGGCACACAUCACUUGGAAUACAAACAUAUCUCAGUGUGUUUUGAGACAAUUUGUUGUCUACUAUCUACCAUUCUACAGUUCUGAAAGUACCUUAUCCCCUAUUCUCAUGGAUUCAGGUAUCAAAUAGAGAAAAUACACAGGUACUUCAUAUAUUUUGUUAUAUAUGUUCCCUAUGUACAUUGAAAGGGCAUUAUUUUAUUUUAAUGGACUCCUUUAAGGAAUAUUUGUCAUUUCAGAAGUCUGCGAGUGAGGCUACUGCUUAGCACGUUCCUUCUGCCUGCCCUGCCAGAUAUAUGGCUACAGGAUGCUCUUGAAGCACCUGGCAUGUGUCCCACAGAACCAUUGCCUCCCAGCAGAGCACAUGGAAGUGCUCUUUUGCUAAUAUGAUGUAUGGCUGUCAUGUCGCCUGUUGGUUUUAACACUGCAAUCUUUGAUCACUGAGAACCGUUUGAGUCCACCCUGCAGUCCCUGCAUCCCAAAGCAGUGGAUCCUGAACAUCCUGCACCCUUCAUCAAAUGCCAGGCUGAGGUUUUACCAUGGAUUUAAUCCAAUAUGUCUGGAUAAUGACCAAGGAAUGGAAGAGGGACAUCCCGCCUUCCUCCAGCAUUGGCAUUCCUGCCAUCUCCCACAUGACGUUACCCCAUGCCAGUUCUUACCCAGAUAACUCACUGAUGUAGCUGGUGAGCAGUAGUGGUACCAGUAUAAAGGAGGUGAAAGAUCACAAGUUAAAAGCUAGGAAGGGAAGAUUACAAGGUUGGAACUUUUGCUUUAAACAUGGGAGGUUAUCUAUUUUAAAACAACAAUUAUUUAUUUAUUUUAAUUUUAACAAGAACACUAGGAAGAACAUUUGUUAGUGUAUAGGCUGCUAAUAACUGCCCAUGGAGGAACUUUUCUGUAUCUGGUUGAAACGAGAACAACUAAGUCAAUUCCUGAUUUAUUCCAACCCAUCAUUUCUCUGCAUUCCUAUUGUGUGAGACAUUUUUGCCUUGCUGGGGUCCUUGAGAAACUGAGCAGUGCUUCAGAUGUCAUGCUUGGAAAGAGAACCCCAGCUGGUUCUGGGUAGCAGGGGGGUCCAUGUGCAGUGGGACUGGCUCUGUACUCUUGUCAUCAUGGAGAACAUCUGAGACCCUCUUCUGGCAGAUGGUGACUCAAUAAACAAAUCUGAGCUUGUCUUCAGUAACAGAGUGUUAUUAUAUAAAAGCUUCCAAAUAGAAAACGAUCAAUGUGCUCUUAGGAGAUAUUGGAG
rnacentral:lncRNA from 1 species